rnacentral:rRNA from 1 species
AAUCAACGCUGGCGGCGCGCUUAACACAUGCAAGUCGGACGAGAAAGCAGGGCAACCUGUGAGUACAGUGGCGUACGGGUGAGUAACACGUGGAUGAUCUGCCUCUGAGUGGGGAAUAACCCUGGGAAACCGGGGCUAAUACCGCAUAAGCCCGCGAGGGGAAAGCCGAAAGGCGCUGAGAGAGGAGUCCGCGGCCGAUUAGCUGGUUGGUGGGGUAAUGGCCUACCAAGGCGAAGAUCGGUAGCCGGCCUGAGAGGGCACACGGCCACACUGGCAC